UUCAAAUUCCCAGAUUUAGCCAAAUGACCCCAAAAUGACCUACGGACCUCCAAAUCCACUUCCGGACGCGCUCCUAUGGCCAGAGUCAUCAUAAAUACAACUGUAGGUUCAUCUAAUCUUACAAAGGUAAAAAGAGUUCGAGGUAGGAACAACGGCAAAGAAGUGGCAUCACUUGAAGUCGGACAAAAGCUGAAAGUAACCUUUUACAAUAAUCGAACGAUUGGAACAAAUAGCAAACUAUUUUCAAGGCACUUGGGCAGAAUAGUUUGUGACCGCAAUAUGUGUCCGUCGGGAGUAUCAUCGUGGAAUGCUAUUAAGUAAGAAAAGUUGAAUCACAUAUGGGCAGCUAUUGAGGUAACAAAUGUAGAUAAGAGUAUGCAUGUGCAUUUUGAGUCGCACAUAUAAUUGUGCUAUUUGCGCUGUGGCGAGGAAGACCAAAGGUGUAGUUAGAAUAAAUUUGAGAGUGUUGACAUGAAUGUUCAUCGUGAUCAUAUCUUGGGAUGGAUGAAAGAGUUAUGGAACAAAUGGAGAGGACACUUGCAUGCAAAAUAUGUGAAGGAUAAGCCAAUCCAACAGGCUCUUUAGGAAUAUUCCAAAGGGAGUAGACAAGAAAGAAUGGGAGUGAUUAGUAAAGGAACAUUUUUCUUCAGAAAGUUUUCAGGCUCAGAUUGAAUAAAUAGUUCAAUCGGAUCCAUCUCUACCUAGCAUAGAGAUAGUAGAAAAACGUUAUGGACCUCAAACCCGUAGCCAUGUAUUUGACGUUGGGAAUGGAGUAAAGGCGAAAGACUUGAAAGGUGGUACUUCUUCAAAGGCUGAAUUAUUGUUUGCGCUAUGUUCAACUAGAGAGGAAAAUAAAUCUUUGAAUGAGGAAAACAAAUCCUUACAGGAUCACUUUUCUACCUUAGAAGAUGAGAUGAAAGAAAUGAGGAAAAUAAAGGAAUUCUUCGCUAUUCAGCAAUCACGUGUCUCUCAUUCGACAUCGUUCGUUUCAACUGAAUGACCACUAUUUUUGUCUAAUGAACAAGUUAGUAACAAUAUACCCUUCCUUUUAAUUUUUUUUGUUGAUUUUUAUAUAGUCAUUUCUAUCUUAUUGCUACCUCUGUUGCAUUCACGCUUUUAUAUUCCUUCAAAUUAAACACUAUGGGCAGACGAAUCCUUGUCAGUUAUACUGGAAGGUCCUUAUGUUUUUAUCUUCAAGUUAUAAUUCAAGUGUUUUUCGUUUCAUCUUCAUUCCCAUCUUAGCUAUAAGAUUGCUAUACAAAGCUCUUAGUUUGAUAAUACACUGAUAACUCAGUGUUGUAGGUGGUCGAAAAUACAUUACAAUAUUUGUGUUUAAUCUAAUAAACCUUUCUGGUGUUCAACUAAUUAAGCAUCUUAAUCUUUUAGCCAAAUACAUUCUUUCCUAUCUGAUAGAAGAUAAAAAAGAAGAUAUCCUUAAUUUUCCAUCACUCUAAAAAUGAUGUAUUCUUAUUUGAUCAACCAAUUGGAGCUGCAAAUGCGGACAAUAAUUCAUCACCUCUUUUUUAUAAAUUAGAAUAUUCUCUGUAAACUUGAAUGAAGGAAAUCUAACAACUCUUUUCUUAUGGGUGGUGUUUCAUAAUUGCCUUCUAUCUUCAUAAGUCUACACCCUUUGGCCCUUUAAGCAAGUACAUCGUUACUUGGAUGUUGUUUUUCUUUAUAGUGAAUUAUUCGUCUUAUCUGAUUUCCCAGUUACCUUGUUGCUGCUGUUGGCUUGCAGAGCUUAUGGAGUUAAAAUAUGUCACAUGGGCUAAUCCUGAAUUUACUUCCUUUGUUUCUUAGGAUGACCAUAACUUUUAAGGGAUCUUGGCAUACUCUUUUGAAUGGUAAAUCCCGAGUUACCGUACCGGGAUUUAUCGAAUCGAGGUUUGAUUUAUCGUUAGACAAUUAUAUAAAUUGUAUUGUACCAUUGUUGUUGACAAGGUUGAGGUGUUUGAACUGAGAAUAUGAGUUAUCGGCAAAAACUCGUUGGAAAGAAGAUUGAGGUUUGAUUUCUGCAUUUAGAUAACAAAAAUAUUUCUUUUGUUGCUUUUUCCUACUCUCUUUUUGAACUUUCUGGAAGCUCUUUGUUAUGAAUAUGGAAAUGGCUACUGUGAGACAAGUAUCUAUAGUGAGCUUAACUGCCAGCUUCAAACUUUCCUUGUUCUAUAUUUAAAGAUUCACUUUGAUUCUC